UAUUAAAGUUACCAACAUCUACAAUACAACCGAGUUGGUCACGACGACCUUCAUGGCCGAUAGAGCCGAAGAAUCAAAUAUUUUCGAACAGAUUGAACAUCGGCAGACUUCUAGAUCAGAUUCUACAGAACUAGAAGAUAUUUGUAUUUUUCAUCAUGUGGAGACGUCUUAAGACAACCGCUGGAGCACGUUGGCAAAUUUACUGUGCCAGGCUAUACCAGACCUACGUCCCCGUGGGCUGCCCAAGAAGCGUUCGCCUCGCGUCCUAUAGGUGGACAUGGGAGGAUGCGCAAGACCGAGCGAAGUGGAGGCUAGAAUCAGGAAGGUCGAUACUGGCACUAGAUCAGAUUUGAAAAUAUAGACUGAAAAAGACCAGAUGUCAAGUCAAAUCAAGAUGCCUUGCUACAAUCCGUCACGUUAAUAUUGUGUAUGGGAAUGAUUAUGCUAGCGAUAGACGUAUCA